rnacentral:rRNA from 1 species
AGGACGAACGCUGGCGGCGUGCUUAACACAUGCAAGUCGAACGGAAAGGCCCUUCGGGGUACUCGAGUGGCGAACGGGUGAGUAACACGUGAGUAAUCUGCCCCUAGCUCUGGGAUAGCUCCGGGAAACCGGGAUUAAUACCGGAUACGACUGCUACGGACAUCUGUGGUGGUGGAAAGAACUUCGGCUAGGGAUGAGCUCGCGGCCUAUCAGCUUGUUGGUGGGUAACGCCUACCAAGGCGACGACGGGUA